rnacentral:rRNA from 1 species
CCUACGGGAGGCAGCAGUGAGGAAUAUUGGUCAAUGGAGGCAACUCUGAACCAGCCAAGUCGCGUGAAGGAUGACUGCCCUACGGGUUGUAAACUUCUUUUUUAAGGGAAUAAAGUGAGCCACGUGUGGCUUUUUGCAUGUACCUUACGAAUAAGGAUCGGCUAACUCCGUGCCAGCAGCCGCGGUAAUACGGAGGAUCCGAGCGUUAUCCGGAUUUAUUGGGUUUAAAGGGUGCGCAGGCGGGAUAUUAAGUCGGCGGUGAAAGUUUGCAGCUUAACUGUAAAAUUGCCGUUGAUACUGGUAUUCUUGAGUGUAUAUGAAGUAGGCGGAAUUUGUAGUGUAGCGGUGAAAUGCAUAGAUAUUACAAGGAACUCCGAUUGCGAAGGCAGCUUACUAAAAUACAACUGACGCUUAGGCACGAAGGCGUGGGGAUCAAACAGGAUUAGAUACCCUGGUAGUCCACGCAGUAAACGAUGAUUACUCGCUGUUUGCGAUACACAGUAAGCGGCUUAGCGAAAGCGUUAAGUAAUCCACCUGGGGAAUACGUUCGCAAGAAUGAAACUCAAAGGAAUUGACGG